CCAUGGGUUAGUUAGUUGACGCGACUUUGGUUAAUCUCAUAUAUCCAGCGCCUAAAUUUGGGAUCUCCUCUCAAUAGUUCUCGAACCUUUAAUUCCCACCGUCACUAUUUUCCACUGCCUUAAGCGGCUGUCAUUCGUUAAUUGCGACGUGUUAUGUUUUGCUACCACCGCCCACUGCUUCCAAUUGCAAACCAACAACAUAUAUUAUAUUGCUGCCUCUUUCCUCCAUGGCUCAUCUAACUGGAUUAAUCCUUACCCUACGGAAGCUCCCUUCAUACCACAAACCGAUUUUGACCUCAAAGCUAAGCUCAAGAUUAGGGCUUUGUUUUUGCUUCUUGGGUAAACUGAAGCUUUCAUCGGCGACCAUCCUGCUACCGUGUUCUACUAUACGAUUGUGCUAAAUCAAGUUUUCUCACCACCUAAUGGUAAAUGGGUUCCAGCAGUCCAAGAACAAUUUAAAGCCCUUUAAUAUUUCUUUUGGUUUUCUAUCUAUCGGAUUAGGUGGAAUACUCUAAUGCAUUAUUGAUGAGGAAGGUCUAUUUUCAAGAAAAACAAUAAACAGUUGUCAGGAAGUAGUAGGUGCUGGAAAGGCACACUAGAAGAUUGGAAAGAAUGGAUACAAUUGUUGCAGGGGCAAAACCGAAAAAACAAAAGUUGGGUAAGAAAGUGGGUGGUGGUUGUUUGGUGAAAAAGAAGCGUAAGCUAUCUGGUAGGAGGAGUGGUGUUGGUAAGGUCCAUCUGUAUAAAACCAUUUCUCCAUAAGUCCUCUUUUGUUUUGUUAGGUUUUGAAAUUUCAUAAAUUUUUAUUUCUAAACAAUUGUUUAAGAAUUAUUGAUUUGUGCCUCUCCUUACAUUUUUAUUUGUAGUUGAACGAUUUUCUC